AUACGGAGGAUCCGAGCGUUAUCCGGAUUUAUUGGGUUUAAAGGGUGCGUAGGCGGGACUGUAAGUCAGGGGUGAAAUACUGCAGCUUAACUGUAGCAUUGCCUUUGAAACUGCCGUUCUUGAGUACAGUUGAGGUAGGCGGAAUGUGGUGUGUAGCGGUGAAAUGCAUAGAUAUACCACAGAACGCCGAUUGCGAAGGCAGCUUACUAAGCUGUUACUGACGCUGAGGCACGAAAGCGUGGGGAUCAAACAGGAUUAGAUACCCUGGUAGUCCACGCUGUAAACGAUGAUUACUGGUUGUUAGCGAUAUAUAGCUAGUGACUGAGCGAAAGCAUUAAGUAAUCCACCUGGGGAGUACGUCGGCAACGAUGAAACUCAAAGGAAUUGACGGGG
rnacentral:rRNA from 1 species